rnacentral:rRNA from 1 species
AAUGUCUCAGAUAGCCAUGCAUGUCUCAGUAUAAGCUUCUAUACGGCGAAACUGCGAAUGGCUCAUUAAAACAGUUAUAGUUUAUUUGGUGGUCAGCAAUUACAUGGAUAACCGUGGUAAUUCUAGAGCUAAUACAUGCGCCCAAACCCGACUUCGUGGAAGGGUUGUGUUUAUUAGAUACAGAACCAACCCAGGCUCCGCCUGGCCUUGAGGUGAUUCAUAAUAACCGAACGAAUCGCAUGGCUAUGCCGGCGAUAGACCAUUCAAGUUUCUGACCUAUCAGCUAUCGUCGGUAGGGUAUUGGCCUACCGUGGCAAUGACGGGUAACGGAGAAUUAGGGUUCGAUUCCGGAGAGGGAGCCUGAGAAACGGCUACCACAUCUAAGGAAGGCAGCAGGCGCGCAAAUUACCCAAUCCUGACGCAGGGAGGUAGUGACAAGAGAUAACAAUACAGGGCACACAUGUCUUGUAAUUGGAAUGAGUAAACUUUAAAUCACUUUA